ACUCCUACGGGAGGCAGCAGUGAGGAAUAUUGGUCAAUGGAGGGAACUCUGAACCAGCCAUCCCGCGUGUAGGAAGACGGCCUUAUGGGUUGUAAACUACUUUUAUACAGGAAGAAACGUACCCUCGUGAGGGUGCCUGACGGUACUGUAGGAAUAAGCACCGGCUAACUCCGUGCCAGCAGCCGCGGUAAUACGGAGGGCGCAAGCGUUACUCGGAAUCACUGGGCGUAAAGAGCGUGUAGGCGGAUAGAUAAGUCAGGAGUGAAAUCCUAUGGCUCAACCAUAGAACUGCUCUUGAAACUGUCAAUCUAGAGUAUGGGAGAGGUAGAUGGAAUUUCUGGUGUAGGGGUAAAAUCCGUAGAGAUCAGAAGGAAUACCGAUUGCGAAGGCGAUCUACUGGAACAUAACUGACGCUGAGACGCGAAAGCUGGGGAGCAAACAGGAUUAGAUACCCUGGUAGCGAGUAG
rnacentral:rRNA from 1 species